AUGCCCAUUCACACCCACUCACAUAGACUCAAACCACUCACAUACACCCACACCCACUCACAUACACUCAAACCACUCACAUGCACUCACACCCACUCACAUACACACACUCCACCCACUCACAUACACCCACACCCACUCACAUACACCCACACCCACCACAUACACCCACAUCCACCACAUACACCUGCACCCACUCACGUACACUCACACCCACUCACAUACACCCACACCCACUCACAUACACCCACACCCACCACAUACACCCACACCCACUCACAUACACUCAAACCACUCACAUACACCGACGCCCACUCAUAUACACCGACGCCCACCACAUACACCCACAUCCACCACAUACACUCACACCCCACCACAUACACCCACACCCACCACAUACACUCACACCCACUCACAUACACUCACGCCCACUCACAUACACCACACCCACUCACAUACACCCACACCCACCACAUACACCCACACCCACUCACAUACACCCACCCACCACAUACACCCACAUCCACCACAUACACCUGCACCCACCUCACUUACACUCACACCCACUCACAUACACUCACACCCACUCACAUCCACACCCACUCACAUACACUCCGGCAUCUACUCACAUACCCUCCACACCUACCCACAUACACUCUGGCUACCCACUCACAUACACUCACGCCCACUCACAUACAUCCACACCCACUCACAUACACCCACACCCACCACAUACACCCACAUCCACCACAUCCACCCACGCCCACUCACAUACACCCACACCCACUCACAUACAUCCACACCCACCACAUACACUCACAUCCACCACAUACAUCCACACCCACUCACAUACACCCACACCCACUCACAUGCAUCCAUACCCACUCACAUACACCCACGCCCACUCACAUACAUCCACACCCACUCACAUACACCCACGCCCACUCACAUUCAUCCAUACCCACUCACAUACACCCACGCCCACUCACAUACAUCCAUACCCACCAUAUACACCCACAUCCACCCCAUACACCCACACCCACUCACAUACACUCACACCACUCACAUACACCACGCCUACCUAUAUACACCCCUACGCAUCCCACAUACACCCACACCCACUCACAUACACCCACAUCCACCUCACAUACACCCACCUACCCACAUACACCCACACCCACUACAUACACUCACACCCACUCACAUACACCCAUACCCACCCACAUCCACCCACAUCCACCACAUACACCCACACCCACCACUACAUACACUCACACCCACUCACAUACACCCACACCCACCACACCCACUCAUAUACACCCACACCCACCACACCCAUUCACACUUAUGGAUACCCAUUCAUGUCCACCAAUACACAUUCUCACCCACAGCCAUCGGUCCUCACCCUUAACUUCUCUUGCUCACCCAGACCCAACCGUCUGUGCAAAACCCAGCUGA
rnacentral:lncRNA from 1 species